AUCAAGCUGAUGAGUCCCGAAUAGGACGAAACGUGCGUCCUAGAA
rnacentral:hammerhead_ribozyme from 1 species